CUCUGGGUGGCACAGUGGCGUCAGCGUCUGUUUUGCUAACUCUGGGCAUCUCAUCCUAACUGUGCCCAGCCACACGGAGGGCCUCAGAGAGGGGCAGAGAAGUGCAUUUUGGGUGGCUGCAUUUGCCAUCCAAUAUCCUAGUUGGAAUCGGGAGACCUUGCAUCAAGCCAGGACACAGGACCGCUGUUGGAUGCCAUGGUCUGAGCAGCAAUGUGGCCCUCAUCUGAGGUGUGUGCUGGGUCUGCCUCUGCACCAGCUAGGUGUCCUGGUAAGUUAAGUAACACUUCGCCUGCUCUCUGUUGCCCCUAAGCCUUUGUCUCGCAUCAAUCUUGGCAGAAUCCUCCUGUUCCUCUGUCUUCGGCUUUAGCCACCAUCAGGGCGUGUGUCCUGCUAUUUCCCCACUCGUUUUUGCCCUGUAAAGGAAAGACCAUGUAGCAGCUGGCACUCCUUCCCCACUCCAGGCCCGGUGUCCUGGGCUGUGGCACCUGAAGAUUCUGUCCCUGAGCCAGUCUGGACACAGCCAGGCGGCAGCACUGGCAUUUUGGGAUGUCAGUGCAUCAUCAUGGGCACUGUGUGUCCACGUGGGAUGCCAGGACCUGGUGCUGGGAUGUACAGGGAGUGAGUACUGCGGCUGCAUUUCUCUCCUGUUGGAGGGAGGUUCUCACCUCCAGCUUCUGAUGAUGUCAGUGGAGCGAGAAUGCCAACCCAGAGGGCCGUGACACUCCAGCCCUUUUUUU
rnacentral:lncRNA from 1 species